GGCCCUAUCGUCUAACGGUUAGGACGCGACCUUUUCAAGGUUGAAAUCGGGGUUCGAUUCCCCGUAGGGUCACCA
rnacentral:tRNA from 1 species